GAUGAACGCUGGCGGCGUGCUUAACACAUGCAAGUCGAACGAAGCACUUUUACAGAUUUCUUCGGAAUGAAGUUUUUGUGACUGAGUGGCGGACGGGUGAGUAACGCGUGGGUAACCUGCCUCACACAGGGGGAUAACAGUUGGAAACGGCUGCUAAUACCGCAUAAGCGCACAGUACCGCAUGGUACAGUGUGAAAAACUCCGGUGGUGUGAGAUGGACCCGCGUCUGAUUAGCUAGUUGGCAGGGUAACGGCCUACCAAGGCGACGAUCAGUAGCCGACCUGAGAGGGUGAUCGGCCACAUUGGGACUGAGACACGGCCCAA
rnacentral:rRNA from 1 species